rnacentral:piRNA from 1 species
UCGGUGUCAGUGGUGCUAAAGCCAUCAUCA